rnacentral:tRNA from 1 species
UCCCUGGAGGACUAGUGGUUAGGCCACAGCGCUCUCACUGCUGCGGCCCGGGUUUGAUUCCUGGCCAGGGAA